UCCCUGGUGGCUCAGACGGCAAAGCAUCUGCCUACAAUGCAGAAGACCCAGGUUCGAUCCCUGGGUGGGAAA
rnacentral:tRNA from 1 species